CAGCGUACGUGAUGUGAAAUCGACGAAGUUGUUUUCUGAAUAUGUAGUUGUUGUGGCGUUUGUAUGUGUUUUCUGAAUAUGUAGUUGUUGUGGCAUUUGUAUGUGUUUUCUGAAUUUGGAGGUGUUUUCUGAAUAUGUAGUUGUUGUGGCGGCGUUUGCAUGUGUUUUCUGAAUUUGGAGGUGUUUUCUGAAAAUGUAGUUGUUGUGGCGUUUGUACAUGUUGUGACCCUUCUCGGCCACCGUAC